UCCUUACACGAAUGACCCAGUGCGUGUUGUCUUCUUUUCAACCCUAGUCCCUCUGCUCGGCUUGGGAUACACGGUGACACUGGUGUUCCCGACAUCUUGAGGUCCCACUGAGAUGGAGAAAGAGGAUUGGAUGAAGGGUCAUCCCGGGAGGCUGGUCAGCUGAUUGAUGUGCUUAGAAGAAACGUGAAUGUUUUACCAACUUGGCUAAUAACAUCCCAGGUGCAAUUCAUUGUUUAUCAACUUCAAUCGCCUGAAUUCCACUGACCCAGAACAGUGGCAAGAAUCUAACAAGCAUGAAUCAUGAAUCUGUUGCAUCCAACCUGCUCUGCUACAAUGACUGGUACUCCUCCCCGAGAGAGCCUGGAGGCCAGUCCCCACACAAAGCCAUUACCAAAGGACCUGUGACUUCCUGGUGCUGAUUUGACUGGGAUGAUGAGUAAAGCAGGAGAUUGUGGAAAGGUGCAAACCUGACUAUGGCACAGGAGUAGGAAGCUGGGACUCGGAGUAAGGUAAGACUCCAGCCGUGCAUUCCAAGCCCCCAGCUGCUUCUUUUCUAGGAUGCCAUAACUUAAUGCAAAUCAAGAAAGAGGGCAGGGCUAUGCAAACGCCUC